AUGGGGACCAUUAAAGCAAUGAAGUCAUAUAGGAAGAAGAGGAGGCGGGAACAACCCCCCCAUCACCCUCCCACCCCCGGCACUGACCAAAGCGCGUGCCGCUGCAUCCCCGUGUCCAGCGCCGUCGCCACCGUGCCCAAGAGAAAGGCUGAAAGGAAUGCUAAAGGAGAUAAAGCCAAGGUGAAAGACAACCACAGAGAAGAUCUGCAAGGUUGUCUGCCAAACCUGCUCCUCCAAAGCCAGAGCCCAAGCCUAAAAAGGCCCCUUCAAAGAAGGGAGAGAAGGUACCCAAAGGGAAAAAGGGAAAAGCUGACACUGGCAAGGAUGGGAAUAACCCUGCAGAAAAUGGAGAUGCCAAAACAGACCAGGCACAGAAGGCUGAAGGUGCUGGAGAUGCCAAAUGAAGUGUGUGCAAUUUGAUAACUGUGUACUUCUGGUGACUGUACAGUUUGAAAUACUAUUUUUUAUCAAGUUUUAUAAAAAUGUAGAAUUUUGUUUUACUUUUUUUUUUUAAGCUAUGUUGUUAGCACACAGAACACUUCAUUGUUGUUUUGGGGGUGGGGGGAAGGAGCAUAUGUCACUAGUAGAAUGUCUCCAAAGCUGGAUUGCUGUGGGGGGAAAACACCUUUCCCUUCUAGUUUUGAGAGACUUCCUCUUUGUUCCCAAGAGGAAGGGACUCCCUGAUGUUGGCACACAUAGCCACCUUGGCACAAAUGCCUUGUGGUAUGGAAAAACUCAAACUCAUCUGUAUGUCCUCCUGUCCCUCUCUGCCAUGAGCAUAGACUUAUCUCCCCUAAACUCAGACCUGUUGGGACCUGAUUCCCAACGAUUGGUUUUACCAGUGUGUGGGGCAAUCUGGACUUUCCAGUGACGUCAUUGAGAAUAUGUCCCUCAGAAGAGCAGCAGUUCCUUUUCUAGAUUGUGGAUCUUCAGAUUAAUAAUUUUUGCCAUUUUCCUUUCAUUUCCUGAAAGUCAGGGUCGGCUUGUGAAAAGUUGUUAAACAACAUGCUAAAUGUGAAAUGUCAACCCUCACUCUAAACUUUCCCUAUUCAGAGCAUCAAAUGAAGACUUCAUUGGGUUUUAUAAUGGCUUUCUGAUUUUGGUAGUCCAUUCAAGAAGGGAGUUUGAAAGUUGUUGUAUACUGUUAACGAUUGUCUGCCCAUGUCCUGCCUGAAAUAUCAUGAUUGUUUAUGAAAAGUAUCUUUAAUAAAGCUGGAUACAGUUUGAAAAAAAAA